rnacentral:lncRNA from 1 species
CACAAAAAGUGUUCAUAAUAUAACCCACUACAAUAGUGCAGUUUUGGAGUUUGUUAUAAGAUGGAGAAAGUGCUCUCUUUUAAUGCCAUGUAUUUAGUAAUAAGCAUUUUUUAGUUGCCCUAUUCUGCAAAGACAAAACCUGCUGAUACAGUCCGUCCUGUUUUAUAAAUCUUUGACCCAUUCAUCAGACUCUGACCACUCUAAAGAUAAAAGAUUAUGGUCAUAUUGGUCUUUCCGACUGAAGUGGCCUCCUGCAGAUUGAGCAAUUGUGUAAUUAUUAACUGUGGUAAUGGAUAUGUACUUGCAAGUUUCAUCUGGUAUCUUACUGAGCUUUAACCCUCUGCAUACACCCAAAAUGAAUUCUAGAAUCUUUGAGACUCAUCGGUUAUCUGUUACUUAACUCUUGUAUUUAAUUUUGCUAUGAUAAAUAUGUUGUUUCCCCUGCCCUCAUCACUGUCCAUCCCCUUACUUACACAUUCAUAACUCCUAUUCAUUCUGGUACUUAGUAGUAGCAGCCUUUGGUAUAAAUAGGUUUAAAAAUACUCAUUUUUAAAUGAGGCUUUCUAGUUAAUUUUUG